CUGUUACUUAAUCUUCGCUGAGAUCAUUUCCUUCCAGAGUUCUUCCACACUGGCAUCGAAUAUCCAAAUUGUCAGUCCAGGAUCAAUCACGGCCCUGGGCCCGCAGGUCUAUAAGUCUGACCACUGGGCAGAUCACUAAAGCCCCGCCCAGUGUGAUUUUACAAUCCCUGAGUACUCUGAGCAGUGUUUCUGGGUGGAAACUUGGGACAGUCCUUGUCCAUCAUACAGAUUCUCAUCACCCAAAACUUCCAGAUAAACAAUACCGACAGUCUAAUAAACCUGGGCUCUUUAGUGGGAGGUCUUCCUACCCAAACACUCACCGCAAUACCCGCGCAGCAGGUUCUAACAACAUCCGCCAACCCAAAAUGUGUUACCAACAUGCUGACUGCUCCAACAAUUGUGAAACAGAUCUAUGUUAAUAAGAUCAUCACAGUUGACAUGAAACCAACAGAACUAAUAGUCAAUGUCCCAGAUGAAAUGGCAACCGAAAUUCCCAGAAAUCUACUGAAUUUCCCAACAACUGGAAAUCAAACACUCACUGCUCUGAACAUCAACAAGAAAA